rnacentral:misc_RNA from 1 species
GUCAGAGUUGGUGUUCACAUUGCUGAUGUGUCAUAUUUUGUGUUGCCUGAUACAGCCCUAGACAAAGAAGCUCAGAGUCGAUCAACAAGUGUCUAUAUGUUGCGUCGCAAAUUACCAAUGUUACCUCCCCUUCUUUCUGAGAAUCUGGGCUCACUUAACCCUGGAGAAGAUAGACUUGCAUUUUCUAUUUUCUGGGACUUGAACAGUGUUGGAGAGAUCUUGGAUCAUUGGAUAGGUCGCACUGUGAUACGAUCUUGUUGCAAGCUGUCAUAUGAACUUGCUUUGGAUAUGGUUGAUGGGAUGAUUAGUGAGGAGACCUGUGACACAUUAGGAAAUCGACUGCCUCUGUUGCAUGGCCCUUUUGAAUGGCCAGAUGUCAUUAGAUCUGUCAAAAUUCUUCAUGAAAUUUCAAAGACUUUGAGGCAGAAGAGGUUUAAUGAUGGGGCUCUACAGCUUGAAAGUUCCAAAAUUUUUUUUCUAUUUGAUGAAUAUGGAAUUCCAUAUGAUAGUAUGCUUUGUGAGCAGGAGGAGUCCAGUUUUCUAGUUGAGGAGUUCAUGCUUUUGGCAAAUAGGACAGCUGCUG